GUGAUAAGCUGCGAUAAGCUUCGGGGAGUUGCACGUAAACUUUGAUCCGAAGAUUUCCGAAUGAGGAAACUCACUUAGAGUAAUGUCUAAGUAUCAUUAAGUGAAUACAUAGCUUAAUGAGGGGAACUCAGGGAACUGAAACAUCUAAGUACCUGAAGGAAGAGAAAGAAAUUCGAUUCCGUAAGUAGCGGCGAGCGAACGCGGA
rnacentral:rRNA from 1 species